rnacentral:rRNA from 1 species
CACAUGCAAGUCGAACGGAAAGGCCCUUCGGGGUACUCGAGUGGCGAACGGGUGAGUAACACGUGGGUGAUCUGCCCUGCACUUUGGGAUAAGCCUGGGAAACUGGGUCUAAUACCGAAUAGGACUCCGGCCUUCAUGGGUUGGGGUGGAAAGCUUUUGCGGUGUGGGAUGGGCCCGCGGCCUAUCAGCUUGUUGGUGGGGUAAUGGCCUACCAAGGCGACGACGGGUAGCCGGCCUGAGAGGGUGACCGGCCACACUGGGACUGAGAUACGGCCCAGACUCCUACGGGAGGCAGCAGUGGGGAAUAUUGCACAAUGGGCGCAAGCCUGAUGCAGCGACGCCGCGUGAGGGAUGACGGCCUUCGGGUUGUAAACCUCUUUCAAUAGGGACGAAGCGCAAGUGACGGUACCUAUAGAAGAAGGACCGGCCAACUACGUGCCAGCAGCCGCGGUAAUACGUAGGGUCCGAGCGUUGUCCGGAAUUACUGGGCGUAAAGAGCUCGUAGGUGGUUUGUCGCGUUGUUCGUGAAAACUCACAGCUUAACUGUGGGCGUGCGGGCGAUACGGGCAGACUAGAGUACUGCAGGGGAGACUGGAAUUCCUGGUGUAGCGGUGGAAUGCGCAGAUAUCAGGAGGAACACCGGUGGCGAAGGCGGGUCUCUGGGCAGUAACUGACGCUGAGGAGCGAAAGCGUGGGGAGCGAACAGGAUUAGAUACCCUGGUAGUCCACGCCGUAAACGGUGGGUACUAGGUGUGGGUUUCCUUCCUUGGGAUCCGUGCCGUAGCUAACGCAUUAAGUACCCCGCCUGGGGAGUACGGCCGCAAGGCUAAAACUCAAAGGAAUUGACGGGGGCCCGCACAAGCGGCGGAGCAUGUGGAUUAAUUCGAUGCAACGCGAAGAACCUUACCUGGGUUUGACAUGCACAGGACGCCGGCAGAGAUGUCGGUUCCCUUGUGGCCUGUGUGCAGGUGGUGCAUGGCUGUCGUCAGCUCGUGUCGUGAGAUGUUGGGUUAAGUCCCGCAACGAGCGCAACCCUUGUCUCAUGUUGCCAGCACGUUAUGGUGGGGACUCGUGAGAGACUGCCGGGGUCAACUCGGAGGAAGGUGGGGAUGACGUCAAGUCAUCAUGCCCCUUAUGUCCAGGGCUUCACACAUGCUACAAUGGCCGGUACAAAGGGCUGCGAUGCCGUGAGGUGGAGCGAAUCCUUUCAAAGCCGGUCUCAGUUCGGAUCGGGGUCUGCAACUCGACCCCGUGAAGUCGGAGUCGCUAGUAAUCGCAGAUCAGCAACGCUGCGGUGAAUACGUUCCCGGGCCUUGUACACACCGCCCGUCACGUCAUGAAAGUCGGUAACACCCGAAGCCGGUGGCCUAACCCUUGUGGAGGGAGCCGUCGAAGGUGGGAU